rnacentral:rRNA from 1 species
GAUGAACGCUGGCGGCGUGCCUAAUACAUGCAAGUCGAGCGAACAGACGAGGAGCUUGCUCCUCUGACGUUAGCGGCGGACGGGUGAGUAACACGUGGAUAACCUACCUAUAAGACUGGGAUAACUUCGGGAAACCGGAGCUAAUACCGGAUAAUAUAUUGAACCGCUUGGUUCAAUAGUGCACGACGGUUUUGCUGUUACUUAUAGCUGGCUCCGUGCCGCAUUAGCUAGUUGGUAAGGUAAUGGCUUACCAAGGCAACGAUGCGUAGCAGACCUGAGAGGGUGAUCAGCCACACUGGAACUGAGACACAGUCCAGACUCCUACGGGAGGCAGCAGGAGGGAAUCUUCCGCAAUGGGCGAAAGCCGGACGGAACAACGCCGCGUGAGUGAUGAAGGUCUUCGGAUCGUAAAACUCUGUUAUUAGGGAAGAACAAAUGUGUAAGUAACUAUGCACGUCUUGACGGUACCUAAGCAGAAAGCCACGGCUAACUACGUG